rnacentral:rRNA from 1 species
UAAGGAAUAUUGGUCAAUGGACGCAAGUCUGAACCAGCCAUGCCGCGUGAAGGAUGAAGGUCCUCUGGAUUGUAAACUUCUUUUAUCUGGGACGAAAACGGGAUUUUUAUCUCAAUUGACGGUACCAGAGGAAUAAGCACCGGCUAACUCCGUGCCAGCAGCCGCGGUAAUACGGAGGGUGCAAGCGUUAUCCGGAUUUACUGGGUUUAAAGGGUGCGUAGGCGGAUGAAUAAGUCAGUGGUGAAAUCUCCGAGCUUAACUCGGAAACUGCCGUUGAUACUAUUUGUCUUGAAUAUUGUGGAGGUAAGCGGAAUAUGUCAUGUAGCGGUGAAAUGCUUAGAUAUGACAUAGAACACCAAUUGCGAAGGCAGCUUGCUACACAAUCAUUGACGCUGAGGCACGAAAGCGUGGGGAUCAAACA